GCGAAAGUGGCGGAACUGGUAGACGCGCUGGAUUUAGGUUCCAGUGGGGAAGCCCGUGAGAGUUCGAGUCUCUCCUUUCGCACCA
rnacentral:tRNA from 1 species